ensembl:snRNA U1 U1 spliceosomal RNA
AUACUUACCAGGCAGGGAAAAGCCAUGACCAUGAAGGUGUUUUCCCGGGACGAGACCGUCCAUUGCACUCUGGGUGUGAUGACCUUUUGAUUUCCCCAAAUGUGGGAGACUUGCUUACAUAAUUUAUGGUAGAGGGGAUUGUGUUCAUUUUCUUCCCUU